UUGAGGUGGUGAUGAUGACGACAGUUUGUCUUUAACUGAAACAUCAUGAAGCUUUUCAGUCACUACCUCAUCUGAACCUCAU